CGGGAAGUAGACCAGCUUGGUAGAGCACUUGGUUUGGGACAAAGGGGUCUCAGGUUCGAAUCCUGUCUUCCCGC
rnacentral:tRNA from 1 species